rnacentral:lncRNA from 1 species
UGAGGAACUAGAGAAGCUGCCACAUCUGCUUGGAGAACAAAUAAGCUACUGCAACAUUCCCAAAGAGCAAAGCCUCGCCGUACAAUAUCAUCAAAUCAUCACUUGCAAGUAAAAAGCUAAGUGUCACCCCGUUCAAGAGGAAAGCUGUGGAAAGUCAACAAGCACGACCAAUGAUUACUUAUUAGUUUUAUUCAUUAUCUUUUAUCGUGAAAGCUAAGUGUCACCCCGUUCAUAGUUACGAAUGCCUCGUCAAUGCUUAUAGUUUUCACAAAGUUUAAUGAUCUU